rnacentral:rRNA from 1 species
UACUGGGCGUAAAGGGUGCGUAGGCGGUUUGUUAAGUCUGUUGUGAAAUCCCCGGGCUCAACCUGGGAAUGGCAAUGGAUACUGGCAAGCUAGAGUGUGUCAGAGGAUGGUGGAAUUUCCGGUGUAGCGGUGAAAUGCGUAGAGAUGUGGAGGAACACCAGUGGCGAAGGCGGCUUUCUGGUCUGUAACUGACGCUGAGGCGCGAAACCGUCGGGAGCAAACAGG